UUUUACUUUCUUUCUUUCUUUCUCUCAUGGAACUGGGGAUUGGAUCUAUAUAGCCUUGUUCAUGCGAGGCAAGUGCUAACACACUGAACAAUGUCAGCCAUCUUUUACCUGUUUUAGUAAGCAGGAUCGUAAGUUGGCCAGACUGGCUUUGAACUUACUGUAGCCAAAGAGGGACUUCCUUGGAUUUGUGAACUUGAUAGUUUCCAGUUUUAGUCUCCCAAGUAGCUGGACUUACAGGCCAAGACCUCUAGACCCAGGUUUCUGGCGGUUGUUUAUAAAGUGUAAUAACCCAGGGCCAGUGAGAUGGCUCAGCAGAGAAAAGCACUUGUCAAAGCCUGACAACUCGAGUUCAAUCCCUAGGACCCACAUGGUGGGAGGAGGAUGAAAGAAACAACCCCUGCAAGUUGUUUACACACACACACACACACACAUACACACACACACACACACACCCAUGGCAUGCAUACAUGUGUACACAUACAUAAUAAAUUCAUGUAAAAAUAAUCCUUGGACAUUAGUCUGAAUUAUAAGAGCACCAUCUUUAUGUUCCAACCAUGACCCAGAGGCUACAGAUCCUGAUCCCCCUACCUCAAGACUUAAGAAUAUAAACCUGGGAAUGGACAUAGGCAAACACUCAAACCGUAGGAAUCCUAUGGAAUAAAAUGGGUCAGAAGAUCAAAGACUUCUUUAGGUGGGAGUAACCCCAGGUCCAUGUUUGCAGAAAUACUGUAUCAGCUUUGGGAGAACUCUGGCCAGAGAAGGACUUAAUAUGGUGAUGGUGGCUGAGAGGUCUCUGGGGACUCCCUGGAAUGGUUUAAACAUCUCACUGAGUUGUCAACCCUAUUGUUAUUGAAUAAGACAUAUUUAUCAAAGGGAAUCAUUCAUGAAAAGACAGAAGGCACCUGAGAUUAUUGUCCUGCUCUGGAGACAAAAGUCCUUGGUCUUUGGAAUGUAAAUUCGCUGCUCUCAGAUAUGGGCCAGUAGAUGGCAGCUCUGGAGAUGCCAUGUUCCCCCAUAGUACACCAUGACACCCCCAACCCUGUGUGUGUGUGUGUGUGUGUAUGUGUACUGAGUAGAGAGAGAAGAGCAGAUAUCAGCCUGAUGUGAAGUCUAGGAAAGCUAAGCCUUUUAUCUGCCAUGAGAGGAGCCAGCAGCCUGCAUGGUACUGCCCUUGUUGUCAGCCCACAAAGUUUGUCUGUAUGGAAAGCUAAAUUCAGCUUAGAGAGAUGAGGGCUCCCUGCAGUUUCUGAAGCCUUCAACUGGGGUGGAUCAGGUAGCAGGGGCUACUUCUUACCGCCUAGCUCCCCAGUGCCCCUGAGAUGGCAUUUCUAGAGAUGUUCAGGUUGCUCUAUCUCCAUGUCCCCUCUUCUUCCCUGUGUGUCAGGGGAUGCAGCAGGCAUUAGAUCGAUACUGGGGGAUCCUUAUUCUGAAGUUUCCCAUGACCUUUGAUGUGCCCUUGUGAUUCUGAAAGAGGGAAAUAUGAUCUGUGGUUCUUCUUGAUCUACUUGAUGGACAAUUCUCUGUUGGAUGCUUCCAGGUGCUGCUGGGUACUUCCAGGUGCUACUAGUGCCUCACAGAGCUCUCUGUGAAGUAUUUCCAUGACCAGUUCUGUGUACGAGCGAUACAUACAACAAGCCAGCUCAGAAAUGUGACGCGCAGCUCAUCUCUUACUUUAAUGACAUGGUGAAAUUUCUUGUUUGCUUUGUCUUCCUGAUCUUGCAUUGCCACCUUACCCCACCCCAGGCAGCUGUGCUCUCUCUCCAGUACCUGUCACUAAGGAACGUUCCAAAAGACGCCUCUGUACUCACUGGCUGGGCCUGAAGGCAAGAAGGACUGGCUCUAGCAAUGGCCCUGCUCUAACCAUCAUGAGCACAGUGUGGAGGUGACCCCAAGGCCGAGGAGUGCUCCCCCAAACUCUCUACUACACGUAUAUUUUGACAGACACAGGAGAGCUGUUCUCAGUAGGAAGAACAUGCUGCCCAGGGGAAGACACCAACAGGGACUUUAUAAGGGCCCAAGGAGCUUAACCAGAUCACACAAAAAAUAAUGGCAGGACUUAUUGGUAUAGGGGACACUUCAGAACAAGAAGGAUCUCAGGAUCUCGGACUCUGUCCAAGGGGUGUUAACUACAAUGGGACCAAAACCAAAACAAACCAAAGCAAACAAAAAACAAUAACAACAACAAAACCCUCCUUCCAAAGUCUCAGGGGUGUGGCUGUCUGAGCCACAGGGACUCCACCUGGUACAAGUGGGAGUAUUGGGGAGCAAGACUGUCUGUAGGCAUAGUUACCAGGUACAUAGUGCUUCUCAGAUGUCUCCAGGGAGGACCUGGGAACCCAGCCCCAGGGACAAUUUAGAAGAGUGGACAGCCAAAGAUCAGAACUUCUAACCCCAGCCACUAACAGGCUGGUUGACCCCAGAGCAAAUCACUUUGUGUGGUUUCUUCCUUUGGAAAGCAGGGAGGGGGAGAUAAUAUCUGAUCUAUCUCUUAGAAGCUCAGGUGGUUUCUGUUUUGCUUUUUGUGCAGAGCAAUAAUAAAAAUGACACCAAACCCUGCUGAAAAUAAAUACGGGCUCUAUGCGUUUCGAGCAAUAGCAGUGAGAAUUCUCACUGGGAUUGUGGCUUACUUUACCACGAUAAAAUCCCUAGUAAAAUUCUACAAAGUUUUUCCUUUGUGCAUUUGCCUUCUCAGUAGAAAUGGUUUCCUAUUAGGGAAGAAGUACUUUGAGACAUGCAUUUGAGCCUCUGUGUAAUCCAGUCCCUGAGCUGAAUGGCGUUCUCUUUCUCUUUCUCUUUCUCUUUCUCUUUUUCCACUUUGGUCAUGUUUCAGAAAUAGUUGAAUGCUGGAUUCUGAACUCUCACUGAGAAGUGAAUUUAAAAAAAAAAUAAUGAGAUUAGCAGAUAAGUAAACAAACAUCCUAAUUGAGGCCCAAGCUAUGCAAGUGCUGGAGCAGUAUAGAAUUCCAUGUCUCCGUAUUCUUUGUUGGCCUGAAUGAAACUAAAACCUAGAAGGUUACAUUAAGCAUGAUCACCCUGCUCCUUGGGACUCAGAAAAGGCCUUGAAUGUGGCAGUUUGCAGGCAUGUGAUUGCACAUAACACAAUGGCACAAAUGAGUGUUUUUCUUUCUUCUUACAGAAAGGAAAUUCGCUCACGGAGAGUCUGUGAGUAACUAAAUUCCAACCUUUGCCAUUUCUCCACCAUGAAAGGGGGCUCACCCAAAGAGCCUUGGAGUCAGAUGUGUGUCAGUCCACCUGGCUGCUGAGUCGUUGGUGUCUGCAGCUGUCUGGAGUGAGACCAAGAACAUCCAGGAAAGCCAAGGCUGUGUGGAAGGGGCCGCUCUGUUCUCUCUUCAGCUGAACUCUGGCUGUUGUUCAUUGUACCUGACUGCACUCCACUCCUUUCUGCUUUUGAUUCUAAUAAGUCCUGCUGGGGAUGGAGACAUAGCAUAGACAGCAAAACACUUGCAAGGAUCUGAGUUCCAUUUAGGAAAGAACAGCUGGGUGUGGCUGCAUAGAUUUGUAAUCCUGGUGCUGGGAAGGUUCCUGCAAUCCUUGCUGGCAUGGCUUCAUACCGAUGAGGCAAAGAAAUUGACUGCAAUGAGACGGUGAAUAAAAAUUGACCCCUGGCCUAUAGUCAGCAGCAACCCAUCCAAGAUGCCAACCCAGUAUCCACAGUGGCCAGCCCAGGAACCCUGCUUGCAGGAAGCCAGACCACCACCUCUGGCAACAAUUCUGGAAACCAUGCAAUGACACCUAUAAUAACCACUCCCAAAUGGCGAGAUUUGGAUUCCAAACUGGCAGUUUCCUUACUGCUCAUCUGACUUCCAGUUUACAACCAAACAGGGAAAGCCAAGUAUCUCUUCUACCUAACCACAUGGGAAGGGAGACCUGCUUCCAGUUCAGUCAGCUCCCAUUUCCCAAGGGUAGCCCUCUCCAAUCAGAGUAUGCCCAAAGCCUUCCAUUUGUCUCAUGACAAAGACCGCUCAUCUCUGCCACCUGCCUCUGCCUCACUCUGCCUCAGUGAAAGCAGGUAGUAGAUUCCCUCCCUGUGUAUGGUUAAGUCCUGAAUCAGUCCCCUUAUCUGGGUCUCAUUUAUGUGGCCUUUUGUUUCUAUAUACUCUGCAGCUAGCAAAAGUGGAUUUGAAGACAAGACUGCUCUAUGCUAUUUGAUCCUGGCAAUCUUGGUCUUGUGCAAUGAAGUCAGAGUAACAUUUGUGGCCUCACAAAGCCUGGGGCCCUCUCCUUGAUUCCUGUCUUGAUGGAUUAUAUGGCUUCUAGUGGAGCAGAGCAGAGUGUGAGGAGAUGAAUAAUAACUGCAUUCUCACUGAAUUUGAAGUUGGUGUGGCAUAACCGGAGCAACAUAAAGGAAGCAAUUAGUGAAGGCAGAUGGGAUUCUGUUUUCAAGAAACACUUGGGAGAAAAUAAUUUAAGAAUGAAGAUAACAUAUGUCCCAAUUCCCUUGCCCCCAAACCUCAUUUUAAAGAAGGUGUCACCCUAAGGCCCAACAGUUAUGAUCUUGAUCUUCUUUACAUCAGCAGCCCAUGAUGCUGAUUGGGCACAGUAUGGAAACCAUCACAUCCCACUACUUUGUGAGAAGGAAGUAAGAAGGAAAACUCUUUGACUUGACUCAUACAUUUAGCAGAUGAGAAUUUAAACUCUGAUCUGAUAUCAUGGGUCCGCUUGCUGCAGUCUUGACUAAUAAUCUACCCACUGGCUCGAAUUCAGACCUAGUUUCCUUUUAGAAGUAACAGCAAACCAUUAGAGUACAUUUGGCAGAGUGGACAGAGGUAAGAUGGUGUCUUACCUCCUAACUUGCCUUAGCAACUUAUCCAUUCAGAAUAUAGCUGACGAGCAUGAGGAAAGAGAUGUGUUGUGGCCAUAUUGCUCAGCAUGGUUACCUAUAACCAGAGCCACUAGCUGUGUGAGGCCAGUGAGCUCUUAAAGUGCUAACACUCAAGUCCACAACAAUUUAAAGACAACAUGAGAAAAGAAUAUAAGCCAUUGAGAAAAGAAUAUAAGCCAUUGCAGCAGUUUUUAGAUUUACUAUAGGUGGAUGUGAUAUAUUGGAUUAAGUAAUAUGCAUCAUUGAGCCUAACUUUUUGGGAUUAUGUUUAAAAUGUUAAUGCAACUGUUACAGAGUGAAUCACACAUGAGGCUCACGUAUUCUUUUGUUCGGUGGUGCUGGUCUAGAUCUGGCUCUUUGGGUUUGGAUGACACAGUCCCUAGGUAAGGGAGGGUGAGACCAAGAGUCCAGCUGUGUUCCCACAAGGACAGGGACUCUUGGGUGGGGGCGGGGUGCCAAAGGAAAGAAGCUUGGCUCACGCUGCUCCUGGGACAUAAACCUUAUUAUGCAAGAACACUGCAGACAUCCCAGGAGCAAUUUCAUUGGAAACAUUUUCUCUUCUGAGACCUAGUUUCUUUCCUAAACACCACCCAAGGCAACAAUGGAUUAUUGCUUCCUGGAAAUCAAACCAAGGGCUUUAAAGUGUUUCAUAUUAAAAACAGAAAAACCCAAGAAGGAGACAAUAAUUAUAUUUCUAAAAGCUUUUAGAACAAAUGCCGGCUUGUGAGAAAUGAUUUUUCUAUAAAUAUUUCAUCCGUCCUUUUUUUCCCCCUUGUUCUCCAGCUGAGAGAUUGCACAUGGGUAUGAGCAGUGGCAAUCCCCUCGGGAUAGAGGAUCAAAGCACACACUAAGGUUCACUCCCAAGUUUUGGAGCAUCCCCAGCUUUGCCUGUGGCUCUGAGAUGGAGGGGGCCCGAGUUUGUGGACAACCGACAAAGACUGUUGCAAAAAGCUACAAGCACGUGGCUAUGAGAUCAUUGUUCAAGGCUCGUCCAGGGAGAGACAUGAGUAUGAUCUACCUGUGGGCAAUGGCCCUCAAACAACGCACUUUGGAAGACAUUUAGAAAUCUAAGUAGCAAAUCCGUGAAUCCAUUAAAUGGUUUGAGAUAAACA